rnacentral:rRNA from 1 species
CCUACGGGAGGCAGCAGUGAGGAAUAUUGGUCAAUGGGCGCGAGCCUGAACCAGCCAAGCCGCGUGAGGGAAGACGGUCCUAUGGAUUGUAAACCUCUUUUGUCGGGGAGCAAAAGACGCCACGCGUGGCCGUCUGAGAGUACCCGAAGAAAAAGCAUCGGCUAACUCCGUGCCAGCAGCCGCGGUAAUACGGAGGAUGCGAGCGUUAUCCGGAUUUAUUGGGGUUAAAGGGUGCGCAGGCGGAAGAUAAAGUCAGCGGGAAAAUCGAGAGGCUCAACCUCUUCGAGCCGUUGAAACUGGUUGUCUAGAGUGAGCGAGAAGUAUGCGGAAUGCGUGGUGUAGCGGUGAAAUGCAUAGAUAUCACGCAGAACUCCGAUUGCGAAGGCAGCAUACCGGCGCUCAACUGACGCUGAUGCACGAAAGUGUGGGUAUCGAACAGGAUUAGAUACCCCAGUAGUC